rnacentral:misc_RNA from 1 species
UAAAGGGAAAUUCUUGGAUGUAAAUCAAGCACUCGAACUGGCUAGAUAUGACAUUCAGUACUGUGACUGGCGAGCUCGACAAGAUGUUCUCACCAUCAUGCUCCUUCAUGAAAAGGUUGUGGAAGUUUUAAAUCCUCUAGCUCGCGAGUACAAGUCAAUUGGAACCUUGAGGAAGGAGCUUGCUGAGUUGCAAGAAGAACUAGCCCAAGCUCACCAACAGGUUCAUAUAUCUGAAGCAAGGGUUGCUACUGCUUUAGAUAAACUAGCUUACAUGGAAGCAUUGGUUAAUGAUAGGCUGUUACAAGAUAGAAGCACAACAGAGUCUGACCAAACAUCCCCUCCUCCUAGUACUUCUACCCAAUCUCUGGAUACUGUAAAAGGGAGAUUGCCAUGGAAAAGCUUGAAUGUUUCAGGUCCAGUUCA